rnacentral:lncRNA from 1 species
AAUCAGGUGCCUCUGGGGGACAGGUUGAAAGUCACACCAAGUCUGCUGGUUCUACACUAGCAGAGAUGAAGUUUGGGUUGACAGAUUCCCAGUGAGAAUGCCAGCAUCUGCUCUUCAACAUCCCAUGGCUGACCAGCUCCUUUACCUGCUAUAUUUUAAAUUUGGAAGCAAUUAAUUUGGAGGAGGAAAGAGUCUAAGUAAGAUGCCUAACAGAUCUUGGUGCGUUGACAACCUUGAAACUUGAUGUUAAUGGACAGGUACAAAGAUGAAGAUGAGCUGAACAGUCUUAGUGGUUGAAGCUGCUGCAUGUAAGAUAAGCAUGUUAAAUCCAUGCCAUGUAUACUGCAAAUCCCAAUCCUGUGCACAAAGCAGGCAUUGCUAAGAAGACCCUGCUGUAUUUAAAAAGCCUAGAUGCACUGAUAGAACCCUCAACACAGGACUCCAGCCAUGGACUACCAUUGGUUCAGAGCUGCCAGUCCAGUAGUAGCUUAUGCAUCACCUACGGUAGAGUGGAAACUCUCCUGCACACGCCAGUCACUCCAAGGGCACUUUAAUUAAAACCACACAAAAUUUUUGUAGAUAACAAUAAACUUGAUUAUGGAUAAAUCAUGAAAUCAAUAAAUAUAGAGUUCCUGGUACUCACCACCACCACCCCUUCUCUAAUUUUUUUUCAAAUUCAGGUAAUCUCUAUACCUUUUGCUUAAAAAAGAAAAGACAAGAAAAU